rnacentral:rRNA from 1 species
UGUCGUCAGCUCGUGUCGUGAGAUGUUGGGUUAAGUACCCGCAACGAGCGCAACCCUCGCCCUAGUUGCAGCAUUUAGUUGGGCACUCUAAGGGGACUGCCGGUGAUAAGCCGAGAGGAAGGUGGGGAUGACGUCAAGUCCUCCAUGGCCCUUACGGGCUGGGCUACACACGUGCUACAAUGGUGGUGACAGUGGGCAGCGAGCACGCGAGUGUGAGCUAAUCUCCAAAAGCCAUCUCAGUUCGGAUUGCACUCUGCAACUCGAGUGCAUGAAGUUGGAAUCGCUAGUAAUCGCGGAUCAGCAUGCCGCGGUGAAUACGUUCCCGGGCCUU